rnacentral:misc_RNA from 1 species
UCGUCGGUGGCUUCCUUUGUAGCUCGUCUUGCUAUGGGACGGCGCACGAGUGGNUUUUAGGAUUCGUUUCCCACGCAGGCUCCGUGCUCGUGGCAUCGAACUGCUUGGGUGUGUCCAUCUCAUUUGUGAGCUCGCGUCGGCGCUCUUAGGGACGGCUGCGGCUACUCGUUGGGUUCCUGUGUUUGAUAUCGAUUUCUGUAGUUGGAUGGAUUGUUGGUCCCGGUUCGGGUUCUUUGAUCUUCCAGUGCCUCGCGGGGGCACUGGUGAAUAUCGGGCGGGCAUCAACGUUUCCUUUCGAGCCGUCGCUCCCUCGGGGCGCUCCUGCUUGGGAUGGCACGU